AACGAACGCUGGCGGCAUGCCUAACACAUGCAAGUCGAACGAGACCUUCGGGUCUAGUGGCGCACGGGUGCGUAACGCGUGGGAACCUGCCCUUAGGUUCGGAAUAACUCCCCGAAAGGGGUGCUAAUACCGGAUAAUGUCUUCGGACCAAAGAUUUAUCGCCUUUGGAUGGGCCCGCGUUGGAUUAGCUAGUUGGGAGGGUAAAAGCCUACCAAGGCGAAGAUCCAUAGCUGGUCUGAGAGGAUGAUCAGCCACACUGGGACUGAGACACGGCCCAGACUCCUGCGGGAGGCAGCAGUGGGGAAUAUUGGACAAUGGGCGAAAGCCUGAUCCAGCAAUGCCGCGUGAGUGAUGAAGGCCUUAGGGUUGUAAAGCUCUUUUAACCGGGAUGAUAAUGACAGUACCGGGAGAAUAAGCACCGGCUAACUCCGUG
rnacentral:rRNA from 1 species